UAGGGAAUCUUCCGCAAUGGGCGAAAGCCUGACGGAGCAACGCCGCGUGAGUGAUGAAGGUCUUCGGAUCGUAAAACUCUGUUAUUAGGGAAGAACAAAUGUGUAAGUAACUAUGCACGUCUUGACGGUACCUAAUCAGAAAGCCACGGCUAACUACGUGCCAGCAGCCGCGGUAAUACGUAGGUGGCAAGCGUUAUCCGGAAUUAUUGGGCGUAAAGCGCGCGUAGGCGGUUUUUUAAGUCUGAUGUGAAGGCCCACGGCUCAACCGUGGAGGGUCAUUGGAAACUGGAAAACUUGAGUGCGGAAGAGGAAAGUAGAAUUCCAUGUGUAGCGGUGAAAUGCGCAGAGAUAUGGAGGAACACCAGUGGCGAAGGCGACUUUCUGGUCUGUAACUGACGCUGAUGUGCGAAAGCGUGGGGAUCAAACAGG
rnacentral:rRNA from 1 species